rnacentral:tRNA from 1 species
GAGCCUGUAGCGCAGCUUGGACAGCGCGGCAGCCUCCUAAGUUGCAGGUCGGGGGUUCGAAUCCCCCCAGGCUCG